rnacentral:rRNA from 1 species
UACGUAGGGUGCAAGCGUUGUCCGGAAUUAUUGGGCGUAAAGAGCUCGUAGGCGGUUUGUCGCGUCGAAUGUGAAAACCCGGGGCUCAACCCCCGGGCCUGCAUUCGAUACGGGCAGACUAGAGUUCGGUAGGGGAGUCUGGAAUUCCUGGUGUAGCGGUGAAAUGCGCAGAUAUCAGGAGGAACACCGUGGCGAAGGCGGCUCAUGGGCCGAUACUGACGCUGAGGACGAA